UGGGGAAUAUUGGACAAUGGGCGCAAGCCUGAUCCAGCAAUGCCGCGUGGGUGAUGAAGGCCUUAGGGUUGUAAAGCCCUUUCGGCGGGGACGAUGAUGACGGUACCCGCAGAAGAAGCCCCGGCUAACUUCGUGCCAGCAGCCGCGGUAAUACGAAGGGGGCGAGCGUUGUUCGGAAUUACUGGGCGUAAAGGGCGCGCAGGCGGCCGAGGAAGUCAGGCGUGAAAGCCCCGGGCUCAACCCGGGAACUGCGUUUGAUACUCUUUGGCUGGAGUACGGGAGAGGAGAGUGGAAUUCCCAGUGUAGAGGUGAAAUUCGUAGAUAUUGGGAAGAACACCGGUGGCGAAGGCGGCUCUCUGGACCGUAACUGACGCUGAGGCGCGAAAGCGUGGGGAGCAAACAGGAUUAGAUACCCCCGUAGUCC
rnacentral:rRNA from 1 species